rnacentral:miRNA from 1 species
GGUUUCUCUGUAUAGCCCUGGCUGUCCUGGAACUUACUCUGUAGACCAGACUGGCCUCAAACUCAGAAAUCCACCUGCCUCUGCCUCCUGAGUGCUGGGAUUAAAUGCAUGCUCCACCACGCCCG